UGAGGAAUAUUUGUCAAUGGGCGAGAGCCUGAACCAGCCAAGUAGCGUGCAGGAUGACGGCCCUAUGGGUUGUAAACUUCUUUUAUGUGGGGAUAAAGUGCGUGACGUGUCAUGCAUUGCAGGUACCACAUGAAUAAGGACCGGCUAAUUCCGUGCCAGCAGCCGCGGUAAUACGGAAGGUCCGGGCGUUAUCCGGAUUGAUUGGGUUUAAAGGGAGCGUAGGCUGUCUAUUAAGCGUGUUGUGAAAUAUACCGGCUCAACCGGUGGCUUGCAGCGCGAACUGGCAGACUUGAGUGCGCACAACGUAGGAGGAAUUCAUGGUGUAGCGGUGAAAUGCUUAGAUAUCAUGACGAACUCCGAUGGCGAAGGCGGCUUACGGGAGCGCAACUGACGCUAAAGCUCGAAGGUGCGGGUAUCGAACAGG
rnacentral:rRNA from 1 species